UACGAAGGGUGCAAGCGUUACUCGGAAUUACUGGGCGUAAAGCGUGCGUAGGUGGUUCGUUAAGUCUGAUGUGAAAGCCCUGGGCUCAACCUGGGAAUUGCAUUGGAUACUGGCGGGCUAGAGUGCGGUAGAGGAUGGCGGAAUUCCCGGUGUAGCAGUGAAAUGCGUAGAUAUCCGGAGGAACACCGGUGGCGAAGGCGGCAUCCUGGACCAACACUGACGCUGAGUGAGCGAAAGCCAGGGGAGCAAACGGG
rnacentral:rRNA from 1 species